ACCUUUACAGAAAAUAUCUUCCACGGAAACAUCUAAAGGCAAAAAUCCUUCAAAUUCAAAUUUAUCCAAUCAUUUCUUCUGCUUACUACCAUCCUAAAUCAUUUUUCUUUAGUAAGAUCUAUUAGUGUGAAGCUAUUAAGCUAUUAAUGUAUGUAUCAUAUUAAUGUAUUAAGACAUUAAGUGAGGAAGUAAAGUUGCAUUCACAGGCCUUGAACUUUUCCACAUCUCGAUUUUUACCCAUCAUCUCUGCAUAGUUCCCUAAGGCAGCCUUCAAAUGGUGAUGUUUCUUAUAAUCCAGAGUUCAGAAGUGGCUUCUCUUCAAUCUUUCUGUGGAAUUCUAAACCACGUGAUAAAGGAGCUGGUGAGCCAGAUUUCCUUCUGCACCAGAGCCUGUGGAAGCGCCACAGUGGAAGCAGCAGAGACUGGAAGAGCAGGCAAGAAGCUGGGAGCUUUGCACUGAACCAGGAAGUCACCACAGCUCUUAGGCAAAGACCCGGAAAGGUGUCAACAUGGCCACACUACUGCUCCCACCUUGUCCUUACUUUCCUCAUCUCAUCCCACAGGCCACAGAUCAGCCCUGGGGUUCAGAGGGAUCCUGACAGCUACUCCUCAAGAUCCUCUCUGUUGUGAUUCAUCCCCCCGGGGCCCUACAGUUUCUCCUUCCUGACUCUUACAUUUCUUUGGAUGGCAUCAUUAUUUACCUGUCUCCUCCCAUAGUUAGGUGCCAAGCACUGUGGAUUCUGCCUCUCAGUGUCCAGACACCCAUUU
rnacentral:lncRNA from 1 species